UUGAUCGAGGACAUUUAUAAGGUAGUAAUAAUCUUAGUAAGACAUAUUAGUUGGAUUGAAUGUUUGAGUUAUUUAGAGCAUGAGUAGUACUUAAAUGUAUAACAUUAUCUUUGGGGUUUAAUUGAUUGAAGACUGAUGUUUUCUGUUAUGGGGUAAGUACAUUGGGACCUCAGAUGUUUUUUUUCUUUUUUCGGGCGCUUAGGGAUAUUGGUGUUAGUCCGAUGGUUUGACCAGCCUGAAUGUGGACAUUGUUUUGAUUUUAUUUUCUGAGGUUUCCAUAUGUAUUUGCUUAAGUCAUAUCUCUAUACAAUUAGUCAAAAUUCCUCCUUUUAAAGUAGUCUGGAGUACUUUAUGUGGUCGCCUAAGGCAGAGGGCCCGUGAGAGAAUUUUUCCUGUCUAGAUUGUUUGAAGGAUAUUUCAGGAAUGAUAGCUGUCUGACAGGUUUUUUCGCUCUCACACUCCAGAAAGUAGGUGCAUUGCUAAGGAAGCAUGUAUAGGAGGACCUGUUAUUUUGUUACAACUGCAGACAUGCAUGUGAUACCUUUUUGUUUUUCAAGACUUUGUGGAAGCCUCGAAGGGGGUAAUAUGAGGUGUAUUUAGAAGAAUAGUUUUAUAGAAGAAGGUAAAAACACUCUUAAAUUUCUGUAAGUAUAAGGUAAGGUCUGAAGUCCUCUGUGUUAUCUGUCCUGCAGGAUUUGAAAUGUUUACGUUAAAGGGGCCCAAAAGGGCCAAAGGUCUCUCUCUUAGUUCCACAUAGAUGAGAUCAAUGUAAAAGGGCCAUAUGUUCAGUUUGCUUUUUCAACAACAAGCCCACUAUAUAAACAGUUGGAUAUUCUGUUCUGGAGGGGACACUUGAGAAUUGGCACGGAUCCUCUCUCAGGCACUUUAUAGUGCUUGAUGUGAUACUGUUUUACUUUGUAAUAAACAUCUUGUGCAAAGGAAUACGGUGUCAGCGGAGACUUCUUCAGCAUCUUCACAUCAACGCUACUUAAGAAACAACAGAGGAAACGGUCACGAAAAUUGGACCCUCCUAAGACUAAUCUCUCUGAUGGUUACAAUGUUGCUUUGAGUCAUUCUCUCACAUGAUAACAUCAGAAAGCUGUCUGUUUCAACCCCAUCCUCAGUGGAACUUCUCUGUGAUUCCAUUUCACCAUUCUCUGUGAAAAACUGCAAAUCGAAAAGGGUUUUACAAUGCAGUAUCAAGAUACAGACUUGAACUUUGUAAUUUGCAUGACAUCUCAGAGUUGCCACCAGACAAAGCUACUUUAAAACUUCAUUGGGAAUUAGUUUUUACCACAAUUACAGCAAAUUCUGACUUGUUAGGCUUCACCCUGGACACUGCAAACACAUCUUCAUCCACCCAGUCAUCCUCCUCAACAGCCUCAUCAGAUUCAGUGCAGGCUGUCAGUAUGUCUCUAGGUCAGAUCAAUGGCCAAGUCAGUUUCUGGUGCUUUCAUUUUACUAUGACAUGGAGCUAAGGCUUCAGAAAGCGAAUGAGGGUUUCAAAAACAAUGGCACGACCCUGAAUAUCACACGAGAUAUCAAAAUGCAUGUCUUGGAUAAGCUGGCAGAAGCAGUAUACUUGUACAAAGCGUACCCCAAGGACUCUGAAUUGGAGAAGGUAGCCUGUGCAUUAGUGGAGAAACAUCCUUGUCUUAAAGCUCCAGGAUGUGACACUGGAUGGGAAGAGUGGAAAUUCAGUCAGUUUAAGUUUAAGUUUAAAAUGGCAAAUUACCGUCAGAAACUUGGCUAUGCUGGGUGUACUGAGAUUACAGUAAAUCAUUUGAGACAAGGUUCAUCCAGAAGGUCUGAACUGAACUUCCUUCCUGACCAUCCUGCUGGAUUAAAUGAAGAAGCUCUUGAAAAAGAAAGGGCUUCAAUGGAGGAAGAGGCAAAGAAGAGAGACAUGAGCUUGAGUAUCUUGAAUUCGAAGAUGGAUGUGACUUUCUCCUUGAGAAAAAAGGAGAUUGUGCAAGACCAAUCACUGGUGUCAACAGUUAAAUGAAGAUGGCCAGGACUCUUCACCAAUGAACAGGUGCAUGCAGAAUUGGCACCUAUUAACCACGAAUUAACCACAUUGACCUGAAGUCAACACUUCUGACAUCACUUCUGAUUGUCAUACCAGAGGUUUCGUGAAGAUGUCCAGAGCCAAAACAAAUCAAGGAGGUGGUAAAAUGGAGCUCCUGGAC